rnacentral:misc_RNA from 1 species
AAAAAAAAAUUACAAAAAAAAAAAGGAAGAGGAAGAUUAGAUAAAGCAUAUAGAUAACAAAUAAUAGAUUAUGCCGAGUGCUCUUAUGAGCAAUAAAAUACUGUUGGGAAUAGCCAAUAUAUUGGGAAAUUUGUGCUAGAAUUUCCAAAUGACAACAUCUUUGAAGUGCACAUAUUACAUCAAUGACUCACAAGAAUUGCAAAGGGCAAAAGAAAGUGUCAAGGAGAAUGUAAUAUAUUUUGUAACUAGACUAUGAAAGAUAUUUAUAAUGUAGAAUGGAGUAACCAUGAUCAGAUAGCCACUCCCAGGGAAUGAUUAUCUAGGAAUACUGAAAUGUUAGGGCAUCCUGUUUGCAUAUUGACCACACUUUUUUCUUCUCUAGAUUUGAAGCGACAGAAAAAUUUUUUUUGGUCCAAUAAAUUUUUGGUGUAAUAUAGAACCAUAAGUUCUAACCUUUUGGCCUGAUUUAAGGGUGAUUAUCCAUUUAGAUUUUAGAGUCACCUAAAUCCCAGUUGCUCAAGUGGCUUGCCCUUUAACCACAAAUAAAGCAUGUAAAAAAUCUCAACCAAAUUCUUCCAAUCUAUUCACAAAAUCAAUCUGAAAAGGAAAUAUGUUAAAAUUAACUUUUAAACCAUGCAUGCUAAUUGGGUAGGUGUUAUUUUGGUGGCAUUUACCUAAUGGAAGCAGUGCCACAGAGAAA